rnacentral:rRNA from 1 species
CCCUUAGAUGUUCUGGGCUGCAUGCGUGCUACACUGAUAUUGCCAAUAUGUCAUUCUUAUCCGAAAUGGAUUGGGUAAUCAAGUAAUGAAAUUUCAUGCUUGGAAUCGGUAAUUGCAAUUUUAUCGUGAACGAGGAAUUCCUAGUAAGCACUAGUCAUCAGCUAAUGUUGAUUAUGUCCCUGCCCUUUGUACACACCGCCCGUCGCUACUACUGAUUGGGUGUUCAAGUGAGAUGCUUAGACCCUUGUUGCAUGGUUCAUUAUUGUGCUCCGAAAGGAAAAAGUUUCAAGCUUGAGUGUCUAGAGGAAGUAAAAGUCGUAACA